AGACCCGAAACCCGGUGAUCUAGCCAUGGGCAGGUUGAAGGUUGGGUAACACUAACUGGAGGACCGAACCGACUAAUGUUGAAAAAUUAGCGGAUGACCUGUGGCUGGGGGUGAAAGGCCAAUCAAACCGGGAGAUAGCUGGUUCUCCCCGAAAGCUAUUUAGGUAGCGCCUCGUGAACUCAUCUCCGGGGGUAGAGCACUGUUUCGGCUAGGGGGCCAUCCCGGCUUACCAACCCGAUGCAAACUGCGAAUACCGGAGAAUGUUAUCACGGGAGACACACGGCGGGUGCUAACGUCCGUCGUGAAGAGGGAAACAACCCAGACCGCCAGCUAAGGUCCCAAAGUCAUGGUUAAGUGGGAAACGAUGUGGGAAGGCCCAGACAGCCAGGAUGUUGGCUUAGAAGCAGCCAUCAUUUAAAGAAAGCGUAAUAGCUCACUGGUCGAGUCGGCCUGCGCGGAAGAUGUAACGGGGCUAAACCAUGCACCGAAGCUGCGGCAGCGGCACGCAAGUGUUGUUGGGUAGGGGAGCG
rnacentral:rRNA from 1 species